UCCCCGAUAGCUCAGUUGGUAGAGCAGCUGACUGUUAAUCAGCUUGUCACAAGUUCAAGUCUUGUUCGGGGAGCCA
rnacentral:tRNA from 2 species